rnacentral:rRNA from 1 species
ACGCUCGACACCUACGGGAGACAGCAGUGAGGAAUAUUGGUCAAUGGGCGCUAGCCUGAACCAGCCAAGUAGCGUGAAGGAUGAAGGCUCUAUGGGUCGUAAACUUCUUUUAUAUAAGAAUAAAGUGCAGUAUGUAUACUGUUUUGUAUGUAUUAUAUGAAUAAGGAUCGGCUAACUCCGUGCAAGCAGCCGCGGUAAUCUGAGCGGGCUGGCAAGGC